GACGAACGCUGGCGGCGUGCUUAACACAUGCAAGUCGAACGGAAAGGCCCUGCUUUUGUGGGGUGCUCGAGUGGCGAACGGGUGAGUAACACGUGAGUAACCUGCCCUUGACUUUGGGAUAACUUCAGGAAACUGGGGCUAAUACCGGAUAGGAGCUCCUGCUGCAUGGUGGGGGUUGGAAAGUUUCGGCGGUUGGGGAUGGACUCGCGGCUUAUCAGCUUGUUUGUGAGGUAGUGGCUUACCAAGGCUUUGACGGGUAGCCGGCCUGAGAGGGUGACCGGCCACAUUGCGACUGAGAUACGGCCCAGACUCCUACGGGAGGCAGCAGUGGGGAAUAUUGCACAAUGGGCGGAAGCCUGAUGCAGCAACGCCGCGUGCGGGAUGACGGCCUUCGGGUUGUAAACCGAUUUCGCCUGUGACGAAGCGUGAGUGACGGUAAUGGGUAAAGAAGCACCGGCUAACUACGUG
rnacentral:rRNA from 1 species